rnacentral:rRNA from 1 species
UACAGAGGUCUCAAGCGUUGUUCGGAUUCAUUGGGCGUAAAGGGUGCGUAGGUGGCGCCGUAAGUCAGGUGUGAAAUCUCGGGGCUCAACCCCGGAACUGCAUCCGAUACUGCGUGGCUAGAGGUAGGUAGGGGAGAUCGGAAUUCCUGGUGUAGCGGUGAAAUGCGCAGAUAUCAGGAGGAACACCGGUGGCGAAGGCGGAUCUCUGGGCCUUACCUGACGCUCAGGCACGAAAGCUAGGGGAGCGAACAGG